rnacentral:misc_RNA from 1 species
GUAGGUGAACCUGCGGAAGGAUCAUUAACACGUGUUUACACACGUAUUAUCUAUCAACCAAUCGUGAACUGUUAUUUAACUUUAUUUUUACCAUUUUUUAUCUGGUCUAAUUCUUUUUGGUAUUCGUUGAUCUCCUGAACUUAACUGUUCGGUUGAGGACGACUUGAGUAUCAAAACACAAAAUAAAUACGAAACAACUCUUAGCAACGGAUAUCUUGGUUCUC